rnacentral:rRNA from 1 species
CCGGUGAAUACGUUCCCGGGCCUUGUACACACCGCCCGUCAAGGCCAUGGAAGUUGGGGGUACCUAAAGUCAGUCACCGCAAGGAACUAGCCUAGGGUAAACCAAUGACUGGGGCU